GCGGGAGUGGCGCAACGGUAGCGCAUCUGCUUCCCAAGCAGAGGGCUGCGGGUUCGAAUCCCGUCUCCCGCUCCA
rnacentral:tRNA from 4 species